rnacentral:lncRNA from 1 species
CUUAUUUUUCCUACAGGAGAUUAUCUAAAUCAUUCCUUCAAGACGAAUCCUUUAAACCAAGUAUUCAGGCACCCCUAUGUUAAGUUCUAUUCCAACAACCUAAUGCUUCAUUAUUGGAAGGGUGUCAAACAUACAGUACCUGCAUUAUUGCUCGAUCUUGCACUCAGGUUGACAGGUCAGAAACCGUGGUAAGAAGAAUAGCAGUAAUACAUUGUGUAUUGGUAAGGUGGCGGAAGCUUGCUAGAAAGACACCAUGUCGCUAGCAUGAGCUUACUUUUAGAAUUACUAACCUAAUUAAGUGCAAUCACAAUCAAGAUGCCAGGACAUUUCCUAGAAGUUGGAGAUGUUUGGAGGCCAAGAAUGGACCUCAUCUUAUUGGGUCAUCGAUUCUCCAAAAUCCCAUCAUACUAGGAAAUAUCCCAC